UACGUAGGGUGCAAGCGUUGUCCGGAAUUAUUGGGCGUAAAGAGCUCGUAGGCGGUCUGUUGCGUCGGCUGUGAAAACCCGGGGCUCAACUCCGGGCCUGCAGCCGAUACGGGCAGACUAGAGUUCGGCAGGGGAGACUGGAAUUCCUGGUGUAGCGGUGAAAUGCGUAGAUAUCAGGAGGAACACCGAUGGCGAAGGCAGGUCUCUGGGCUGACACUGACGCUCAUGCACGAAA
rnacentral:rRNA from 1 species